rnacentral:tRNA from 1 species
GGGGUUGUGGCUCAGUGGUAGAGCACUUGCAUAGCAUGCACGAGGUACUAGGUUCGAUCCCCAGCACCCCA